GACGUAGGGCGCGAGCGUUGUCCGGAUUUAUUGGGCGUAAAGAGCUCGUAGGCGGCUUGUCACGUCGGGUGUGAAAGCCCGGGGCUUAACCCCGGGUCUGCAUUCGAUACGGGCUAGCUAGAGUGUGGUAGGGGGAGAUCGGAAUUCCUGGUGUAGCGGUGAAAUGCGCAGAUAUCAGGAGGAACACCGGGUGGCGAAGGCGGAUCUCUGGGACGGUACUGACGCUGAGGCGCGAAAGCGUGGGGAGCAAACAGG
rnacentral:rRNA from 1 species